GAUGAAGAACGCAGCGAAAUGCGAUAAGUAGUGUGAAUUGCAGAAUUCAGUGAAUCAUCGAAUCUUUGAACGCACAUUGCGCCCCUUGGUAUUCCAUAGGGCAUGCCUGUUCGAGCGUCAUUUGUACCUUCAAGCUCUGCUUGGUGUUGGGUGUUUGUCCUUGCUCUAGUGGCGGGACUCGCCUUAAAGUAAUUGGCAGCCAGUGUUUUGGUUUUGAAGCGCAGCACAAGUCGCGAUUCAAGUCUAUACGCUAGUUUCCACAAGUCUUUUAUCACUUUUGACCUCGGAUCAGGUAGGGAUACCCGCUGAACUUAAGCAUAUCAAUAGCGGAGGA
rnacentral:misc_RNA from 1 species